CAUGGCUGUGGGCAUUUCAGAUUUGCAGAAAGUAAUGUUUAGAGUAAUUGAAGCCAAGUCAGAAGAUUUUUUGCCUAUUAUAAGUGGAAGGCGUGAACAUUACAUUAUAGAGGUCCAGCUCCCAGCAAAGAUGUUUGAGCUGCUGCCACAAGAGAUUAAAGAGGGAAAGCUGCUUCGCAUGUAUCCAGUGCUCUUUAAUGUUGGAAUCAAUGAGCAGCAAACACUGGCAGAGAGGUUUGGAGAUACCACUUUGCAGGAAAACAUUAACCAGGAAAACUUAG